ACCACCACCACCACCACCACCACCACCACCACCACCACCACCACCACGUCUACUAUUACUACUUCUACUACUACUGCCACUACUACUACUACUUUUACCACUACUACUACUACUACUACUACUACUACCACUACUACUACUACUACUACUACUACUACUUCUACUACUACUUCUACUACUACUACUACUACUACUUCUACUACUACUACUACUACUACUACUACUACAACUAUUAUUACUACUACUACAACUACUACUACUACUACUGCUACUACUACUACUACUACUACUACUACUACUACUACUACUACUACUACUACUACACCACCACCACCACCAUUCACAGUGACAAAAAACGUAUUCACACAAUGGCUGCUACUACAACUUAUAGCCCAUAUAGGGGGGCAUGCAUGUUUUACAAACAGCCCUUUUUUCUAUGGGAUUUUAACCACAACUGUUUAUGUUUAUCUCCGACACAUAUUUUUAGGUCACCUGUCAUGAAGUGACACGGUGAGCUUAUGUGAUCGUGUGAUGUCCGGCGUCCGUUGUGCGUGCCUGCAUGUGUCCGUGCGUCCGUCCGUCAACAAUUUGUUUGUGUAGACAGUAGAGGUCACAGUUUGCAUCCAAUCUUGAUGAAAUUUGGUCAAAAUGUUUAUCUUGAUGAAAUCCGGUUUGGGAUUGUAUUUGGGUCAUCUGGGGUCAAAAACAAGGUCACUAGGUCAAAUAAUAGAACAACCUUCUGUAGACAAUAGAGGUCACAGUUUUCAUCCAAUCUUUAUGAAAUUUGGUCAGAAUGUUUAUCUUGAUGAAAUCUGGGUUGGGAUUUUAUUUGGGUCAUCUGGGGUCAAAAACUAGGUCACUAGGUCAAAUAAUAGAAAAAACCUUGUGUAGACAUUAGAGAUCACAGUUUUCAUCCAACCUUUAUGAAAUUUGGUAAGAAUUCUUGAUGAAAUCUGGGUGGGAUUGUAUUUGGGUCAUCUGGGGUAAAAAUCUAGGUCAAAUAAAUAGAAAAACCUUGUGUUCACAAUAGAGGUCACAGUUUUCAUCCAAUAUUUAUGAACUGUGGUCAGAAUGUUUAUCUUGAUGAAAUCUGGAUUGGGAUUGUAUUUGGGUCAUCUAGAGUCAGGAACUAGGUCACUAGGUCAAAUCAUAGAAAAACAUUGUGUAGACAAUAGAGGUCAUAGUUUUCAUCUGAUCUUAAUGAGUCAGGUGAGCGAUUCAGGGCCAUCAUGGCCCUCUUGUUAUUGAAAGCACACUGUGUCAAACUGAACACAAAUUUUCUGAAAUGAAUGUCACCAGGCACAUUCAUGCAAUUUAAGCCUUUUCAGACAAGAAUGUGUUACAUGUAUUCCAUUUUAUUUUAUACCUGUUUAUGUAUGUCCUCUAAUCAGCUUUCAUCAUUUGUACCAUUUCCUUCUAAUAGUUUACUGUAUUGGAUGCACAUGUGUCCAAUAUAUUUAGUGUGCAAAAGUCCGGGUUAAGGAUGUUCAAUUGUUUCCACUUUACGGUAAUUGAUUCACUAUAUCAUGAAAAUUAAAAACCUUUAUAUAUUUUCACGGUUUUAAAAGAUUAGGUUGGAAUAAACGAGUGAAAAUUCUAUGUUUUAAUGUUUUGAUUAUGCGCCUAUAAAUUUUCGGCAUUUACAUAUUUUCGAGAUUUACUGCAAUGAAACCAAGCAUUUGAUUGCUUGACGUCACUUCGUGAUUGACAUUGAUGAAACGCUUGCUUACGCUGUAGAUGUUAUUUUCUGUGCAAAUACAAGCGUCUAUUAAUAACAAACGAUAAUUUGUCAACAAUGAAAAUCAGAUACUUGGCUUAAUAAUUUUCAUUUAACAUGUCUAAUUUGGAUAUAAUUCGGAAUACAAAACGAAAUUUAAAAGGUUUUUUUUUUUUAAAUGUUCCAAAGAACAAUGUGGAUUUCAAUACAAAUACUAUUUCCACCAACAAUCAGGAUUUCCGGUAUGACAACUGUUAUUUUGACGAUUUUUCUAUCGGAUCGUCGGUAAGUGUGACCACAUGUGACAACAGCGAUGCCAGUUGGAAAAUUGGUAGACGUGUCUUUGAACUCGACACAUUGGCCGAAUCGCUUUCAGAAUGAGUGCUUGUCAAGUGCCCAUGAAUUUACUUAACACAGUAGAAAGCAGGGUUUUCGGACAGGCAUGUGUUUUGGACAUACAGUGUAGCAAUUGUGGUGCAAUAAAUAAUGUGGCUACUGGACGGAAACAUGGCAGAGUUUAUGACAUGAACACAAAGCUUGCAUUGGGUAAGACUUUUUUGUCUUUUUGGUACAUUGGUGCAUUAUAUCAUGAUAUAUUGUCUAAAUUACUGAUACUUUUGAAUACAUUCAGAUAGUUAUCUCUAAGUAAUUCCUGUUUAGUCUACAUGCAUACAUUUUUUUAUAUUGUACUUGCUAUCAGGUUUUUUUUCCUUCUUUGAGACCCUCCAAAAAUCAGCCCUUUCCCCUCCGAUUUUUUGUUCCCCUCAGCUGGUAAAUUUUUCCCUAGAUUUCAUUUUCCCCUCCAAAAAAAAAAUAAAUUAUUUUUUGAAACCUUUAAAUAUAUAAAUUAACCUGAUCCAGUGUAGAAAAUAGAACAAAUAUUGCAUAUUUAAAUUUUCUGUUUCCUUGAAUUUGUUUUAAAAACAGUAAAAUAUGCUUAAUUGAAUAUUUUAGAUUUUUCUUAUUUUCCCCCAAAAUCCGGCGUUUCGUGUGAUAUUUUCCCCCAAAAUUCGGCGUCUCGCGCGAUUUUUUUCCCCUUAAAAAAGGCCAGGCCCUUUCCCCAAAAUCAGAUAAAAACUCCUGGCUCUAUUUUUCUUUCAUAUUUUGUCUGAUUUACUGCCAGUAAACACAAUUACAGUAGAAUGUGAAUGGUUGUCCUUAAAUGUAGUUAAACAUGUAUAUUUUAAAGUGACAUAAGUUUAUUUUCUUCCUGCAGCCCUAUUUAUUAAUACCGGUAAUAAAUAUGAAAUUUUGCAAGUCUAUAAAACAUAAAUAUUCUCAAUUUGUCAAAUACGUAUUGGUUUUGAAAAUAAAGGGCUUAAAUUAAUUAUUAUUUGUGUGUAUGUAGAUCACUAGGUCUUAUAAAAUUAUGUAACUUUUGUAAAUUAUUCACAUUAUUUCAUAUUAUUUUAUUCCACAUAAGCAUAUUCUAGCAUUGUGCAUUGUCAACUGUUCUGUCAUUUACUGCAAUCUGUUUCAGGUAAAUCAGAAACUGAGUGUUUCACCUGGGACUUUCACCUCGAAACUGGCCCUUCUCCGUGACCUUCAGCACAAAGAAAGAGAGGCUAUAGCUGUUACUCCUGCAGCAAAAGAGCGACGCAUAAGACUCAAAACUGGAACGGCAUUCAAAGGACAGUGCAAGAAGUACGAGCGGGACCAACAUACAGUUCAAACAUAGAGGACCAAGAUGUUGAAGUUACAACUAUACCCCCACCUGUACCCAAGCCUGGUCCAGCAGGGCUAGACACUACUGGGAAGGAAUUUGUUUUCUUUAAUUUGGAAACAAGAGGGUUAGAGCGUACUUCUCACAUAAUUCAGAUAGCUGCAGUGCAUUCAACUGGUCAGUUUUCAACAUAUGUGAUGCCUGAGAAGAAGAUGUCCUUGAAAGCGUCAGAAAUAAAUGGAGUGACAGUUGUUGGUGACUCUAUGCUUGUCAAGGGACAAACAGUAACAGCUGUCCCCAUCAAAUCUGCACAGAGAAAAUAAUAUGUGCAAUAGCAAAUUAUUUGUUGCUUGACAUCUAACCAAUUGUAAUUUGCAUCUUGUAUAUAGAUUAGCUAUGACAUCUAAUAGCUGUUACAUUAUUGUUUUUCCUUCUCGAUGACAAACAUAGUUGUGAUUCUUAUGUCAGUUGUAUUUCUCAUGUUUCACCUAAGUUGUAAGAUAUUUUUGGCAGUGCAUUAAACCACAGAUGGUGUGUGAAACAUAAUUGCCCUGCUUAUUGUAUUCUAUGUUGUUUUUAGCUCCACUGGCCAAAGCUCCUGUGUCCGUCGUGCGUGGGUGCGUGCGUUAACUUUUCCUUUAAACAUCUUCUCCUAAACUACUGGUCUAAUUCUGAUGAAAUUUCUCAGGAAUGUUCCUGGGGUGAACCUCUUUCAAAUUUGUUAAAAUUAUGCCCCUGGGAUCAAAUUUGACCCGGGGGUCACAAAAUUGAACAUAUGCUUAUAUAGGCUCUAUUUUGUGAAAACUUUACAAAUUUUCUCGUCCAUAACCAUUGGGCCUAGGGCUACCAAAUUUGGUAUGUAGUGGCAUCUUAUAGUCCUCUACCAAGUUUGUUCAAAUUAUGCCCCGAGGGCCACAAAAUUGAACAUAUGCUUAUAUAAGGCCUUUUUUGUGAAAACUUUAAAAAUCUUCUUGUUCACAACAGUAUGGCAUAGGGCAACCAAAUUUGGUAUGUAGUGACAUGGAUUCGUUCUCUACCAAGUUUGUUCAAAUUAUGCCCCUUGGGUCAAAUUUUAAACUGCCCCGGGGGUCACAAAACUGAACAUGUAUGCUUAUAAAGUGCUUAUUUUGUGAAAACUUUAAAAAUCUUCUGUCCAUAUCCAUUGGGCCAAGGGCUACCAAAUUUGGAAUGUAGUGACAUCUAAUAAACCUCUACCAAAUUUGUUCAAAUAAUGCCUCUGGGGUCAACUUUGACCCUGCUGGGGGGGGGGUCACAAAAUUUAAUAAACGCUUAAAAAGUGCCUAUUUUGUGAAAUCUUUAACAAUCUUGUCGAAAACCAUUCAAACUAUGGCUACCAAAUUUGGUAUGCAGGAACAUCUUAUAGUCCUCUACCAUGUUUGUUCAAAUUAUGCCCUUUGGGUCAAAUUUGACCCUGACCCGCGUGUCACAAAAUUGAACAUUAUAUAUGCUUAUACCUUGCUUAUUUUGUGAAAACUUUAAAAAACACUCUUGUCCUUAACUCUAGGACUUAGCGCUACCACAUUUUUUAUGUAGUGAGAUAUAGUAGUCCUCUACAAAGUUUGCUCAAAUUAUGCCCCUGGGGUUAAAUUUGACCCAGCCCAGGUGGUCACAAAAGUGUACAUGUGCUUAAAUAGGGCCUAUAUUUAAGUAUCUGCACAUGCAGAGAAUAUUUGUUUCAGCCUUUUUUUCAGCAAUGUAGCGAUACAGGGCCAUCAUGGCCCUCUUGUCUUUAAAUACACAUCACACAGUUCUAAAAAUAAUAAUUUUAAAAUAAUACAUAUGUUCAAUUUACAACCAACAACAUGGGUAACAGGUGGGUGGGGUAAUUUAAGAUGUUUAUUUGAACAUCAACAUUGUUUUUUCAUUUGUUACAUCUGAAAUAUUUUCAUAACAAUGUACAUUAUAAAUAUUUCUACGUGUAUCACAUUUCAGUUGAUAAUUUGAUUGUUAUGGAGCAGUUAUUUUAUAGAUAUGUUUUAAUUACUAUGACAAUGCUAGUCAUUAUAUUUUUGAAAUUAAGUCCAUAUUAAAAUGUCUGUAGCAAAAAAAAUCCACGGUGACCUAUCAAUUUCUUUACUUCAUUUUAAUGCUAAGCUAGUUUCCUUUAAAUAUUGAGAACUUCAAAUGAAU